rnacentral:rRNA from 1 species
UACGGAGGGAGCUAGCGUUGUUCGGAAUUACUGGGCGUAAAGCGCACGUAGGCGGCUUUGUAAGUUAGAGGUGAAAGCCUGGGGCUCAACUCCGGAACUGCCUUUAAGACUGCAUCGCUUGAAUCCAGGAGAGGUGAGUGGAAUUCCGAGUGUAGAGGUGAAAUUCGUAGAUAUUCGGAAGAACACCAGUGGCGAAGGCGGCUCACUGGACUGGUAUUGACGCUGAGGUGCGAAAGCGUGGGGAGCAAACAGG